UACAGAGGAGCCAAGCGUUGUCCGGAUUGACUGGGCGUAAAGCGCGCGCAGGUGGUGCGGUAAGUCUGUCGUGAAAUCUCCCGGCUCAACUGGGAGGGUGCGGUGGAGACUGCCGGACUGGAGGCACUCAGAGGCCGGUGGAAUUCCCGGUGUAGUGGUGAAAUGCGUAGAGAUCGGGAGGAACACCAGUGGCGAAGGCGGCCGGCUGGGGGUGACCUGACGCUGAGGCGCGAAAGCGUGGGGAGCGAACCGG
rnacentral:rRNA from 1 species